UACGUAGGUGGCAAGCGUUGUCCGGAUUUACUGGGCGUAAAGAGCGCGCAGGCGGUUGGAUAAGUCGAAUGUGAAGCCCCCGGCUCAACUGGGGAGGGUCAUUCGAUACUGUCCGACUCGAAGGCAGGAGAGGGAAGCGGAAUUCCCGGUGUAGUGGUGAAUGCGUAGAUAUCGGGAGGAACACCAGUGGCGAAGGCGGCUUUC
rnacentral:rRNA from 1 species